GUGGCAUUCCCCACCUAUAGGACACACCUGCUGCCCGCAGUCGGGUGGUGACAGGGUUCAGGGAUUUUCGCCAUUGCAGUGUGGCUUUGGAUAAGUCCUGGUAAAAGGACAAUUGUGAGUCUUCAAAUGCAAGUUGGGUCUUGUUUCUUACCGCUGUCAUUAUUUGCCCCUUGUCUUGAGGUAGUGCGCAGCGGAGUACGUCACCGGCGUUGUGGAAGUGGUUGUGGUGGGCGUUGGUAGGCGAUAUAGCACAGCGAUGUUAAUUUUUUUUACAAUAGCAGGUGGCAGCACUGAGG